rnacentral:rRNA from 1 species
UACGUAGGGCGCAAGCGUUGUCCGGAAUUAUUGGGCGUAAAGAGCUCGUAGGCGGUUUGUCGCGUCUGCUGUGAAAACUCCAGGCUCAACCUGGGGCUUGCAGUGGGUACGGGCAGACUAGAGUGCGGUAGGGGUGACUGGAAUUCCUGGUGUAGCGGUGGAAUGCGCAGAUAUCAGGAGGAACACCGAUGGCGAAGGCAGGUCACUGGGCCGCAACUGACGCUGAGGAGCGAAAGCAUGGGGAGCGAACAGG